rnacentral:tRNA from 79 species
CGGGGUGUAGCGCAGCCUGGUAGCGCACUUGCAUGGGGUGCAAGGGGUCGCGAGUUCGAAUCCCGCCACCCCGACCA